rnacentral:rRNA from 1 species
CUACGUGCCAGCAGCCGCGGUAAUACGGAGGGUGCGAGCGUUAAUCGGAAUAACUGGGCGUAAAGGGCACGCAGGCGGUGACUUAAGUGAGGUGUGAAAGCCCCGGGCUUAACCUGGGAAUUGCAUUUCAUACUGGGUCGCUAGAGUACUUUAGGGAGGGGUAGAAUUCCACGUGUAGCGGUGAAAUGCGUAGAGAUGUGGAGGAAUACCGAAGGCGAAGGCAGCCCCUUGGGAAUGUACUGACGCUCAUGUGCGAAAGCGUGGGGAGCAAACAGGAUUAGAUACCCUGGUAGUCCACGCUGUAAACGAUGUCGAUUUGGGGGUUGAACUUUAAGUUUGGCGCCCGUAGCUAACGUGAUAAAUCGACCGCCUGGGGAGUACGGCCGCAAGGCUGAAACUCAAAGGAAUUGACGGGGGCCCGCACAAGCGGUGGAGCAUGUGGUUUAAUUCGAUGCAACGCGAAGAACCUUACCUACUCUUGACAUCCAGAGAACAUUC